GUCCCUGUAACGCAAUAGAUAGCGCUUUGGACUUUCAAUCCAAAUGUAGUGGGUUUGAAUCCUACCUGGGAUG